AAUUUAAUAUGGCGAAUUUAACGUUCAUUUGAGUGUAUUUUUUCAUCAGUUUAUUGAUAAUUGUUAGUUAUUUUAAUUUAAAUAUUUUGUAUCGUUGCUAGCUUAAUAUAAAAAUGUUUUAAAUUCUGUUUAACGUGAUAAAUACAAAAGAUGGUGAUUAUGCAAGAUCAAUGAAAAUCAGAUAGAAAAUAUAGUUAACAUCGCGUAGAAAAGAUAUAUGGAGAUUCACUAGGAAGGCAAAUAGAAGACACAUUGCCAGCGAAUAUACAAUGUUACUAAGAUAUUUUUAAACUAAUAUUGUAAAAGACAGUAAAUAUUUAUUUUGUA